UACGUAGGGUGCAAGCGUUGUCCGGAAUUAUUGGGCGUAAAGAGCUCGUAGGCGGUUUGUCGCGUCUGCUGUGAAAUCCCGAGGCUCAACCUCGGGCUUGCAGUGGGUACGGGCAGACUAGAGUGCGGUAGGGGGAGAUUGGAAUUCCUGGUGUAGCGGUGGAAUGCGCAGAUAUCAGGAGGAACACCGAUGGCGAAGGCGGUUCUCUGGGCCUUACCUGACGCUGAGGAGCGAAAGCGUGGGGAGCGAACAGG
rnacentral:rRNA from 1 species